UACGUAGGGACCGAGCGUUGUCCGGAAUCAUUGGGCGUAAAGAGCGUGUAGGCGGCUUGUUAAGUCUUGCGUGAAAUCUCGGGGCUCAACCCCGAGCGGUCGUGAGAAACUGGCAGGCUAGAGUGCGGGAGAGGAGAGUGGAAUUCCUGGUGUAGCGGUGAAAUGCGCAGAUAUCAGGAAGAACACCAAUGGCGAAGGCAGCUCGCUGGGACGGUACUGACGCUGAGGUGCGAAAGCGUGGGGAGCAAACAGG
rnacentral:rRNA from 1 species